rnacentral:lncRNA from 1 species
AUAUAUGUACGAAUCAGACCCUACCCACCCCAUUCUCAUCGUCCUCACAGACCCGUACCUGUAUAAAUCCUAAUUCCGCGCCACCGAAUCCCACCGCCCUUGGGUGGCGGCGCCGAUUCCAAACUCCACCACAAUAUUACCCCUGAACAAGCAGACCACCCCCAUUACGAAUCCAUGAACCAUUUGCCUCGAACCAAAUCACACCUGCUCGAAUCUUGGUUUGAAAAUCUGCCCCAAAACCAAAAUCGUCCAAAUCCAACAAAACUUACACCCUACAACCUCCUUGACUUCCCCAUGAUGGAACCCAAACCAAAAUCUUUCAAAUCUAAGCCAAAGUCCAUUAAUUCAGAUCUAUGGUUCACUAUCGAGACCUUUUAAAUGUUCGGCUGGUGUUCCAGUGAUUUUGAAAUCAUAUUAUGUGUUUGUUCUUACUAAGAACAAACACAUAAUAUAGUUUAAAGAUCAAUUUCGAGUUCGGUCAAGUCCAACACAAAUUAGUGAGUUUCUCUUUGUUUUUUCUUUUCUUUCUUUGUUUCCUUCUUUCUACUUCAUGUGUGAUGGAUUAUCUAUAUGUGCAAUUUGGUUUAAAUUUAGUCUCAAUCCCACUUCUUUUUUAUCCGUGUAUUGUUCUGGUUUCCCAAUUAAUUUCGUUCGUAAUUCAUGAUAUAGUAAUUCACGAUUAAGUCUUUUUGUUUGUUGUUACGAAUUCAACUAAUUAGUUAGUGUUCUAUUUGCAUCUUUUGAAGUCAACCAGUGUUCUGAUAAGUAUUGGUUUGAAUCGGCUAAUUAGUUUGAAUUUGGAUUCAUUUAAAAUAAUAAUUAGCAUGUUAUUUUUACAUAUUUUGACAUUAUCAGUUAGUUCAAUUAUUGAUAGCAAUUGAUAGUUUGAACUUCAGUAAUUAGUUUGCAUUUGAGAUUCAAAGUUGAGAUUAGUUUUAGCUGUUUGAGUUGUUGAAUGACUGGUUUAACAACAGUCAUUUGACCAAGGUUGAAAGAGGUUAGGCAGUUAGUAAUUUUAGGGGGGUUUCAAGGGCUUUUUAGGGAUAGAAAAGGGUAGAAUCCUUAUGUUUUGUAAUUUUUAAAACAAGAAAAGGGUAGCUUAGGAAUUGUACAGCUAAAAGAGCAUUAUAGAAGCUCCUAAAAUAUGACUAUACUGAAGAUUUCAAUAAACGAGGGCAGUAACUUGAGAAAAAAGUUAGAAAAUGAGGGGUUAAAGUGAAAAAUGAGCUUGGACGGAAGUGAAAACAGAAAUUUGAAGAGAUGCCCUUAAUUUAGCCUAUAAAAUGCACCUCUAAUGCCUUCUUUCAGAUGUUUUUUGGACCUUAAAAAAGUUAUCCCAAAUAUUCUGCUCAAAUUUUAGAACUAAAGUUGAUUUUUAGUUCAGAAAUUAGCUCUUAGCUUUCCUUAGAUUCAAAAAACCAAAAACAUAGAUAGAAAACAUAAAAAAAAAUCAUUGUUUCAUUGAUUUUGGAUAGAUUCUGGAUUUUGCUUUGGAACAUUGUCUUACAACUGUGUUUUGGAUAUGUUUUUAGUUGAUCUGGGCUUAUUCUUGCUGGUUUAUGGUUUUUCUGUUGGGUAAUCAAGCUUCUGGGUGAUUUCAAGCAUAUUUAAGACUUAUCUGAUUGUUGAUUUCAUUCUUGGGCUGUAUUUGAUUGGCUGCUUGUUGCUGCUGACUUCUCGUUCUUCUUGUUCAAUUUCCAAUCUCCAGGUACACGCUUGAAAUUGGUACAAUGUAGUUGUUGAAUUAAAAUGCUGAAUUGAACUGUUUUCGUUGGAAUCGAUGUGUUCAAGCUGUUUUAGUGGAAUAAUAGUAGAUGAUUUUUUUUGUUUAGGAUUUAGUUUGAUUUGUUAAUUUGUAUUCGUUUAGGGUUCAGUUAGAUUUGUAAAUACAUCAUAUAGACUGGACAAACAUUGGACUAUAUAUGAGAACGUAUUAGACUGAUUUUGGGUGACUAUGAUAUAUGAGACUGUGCAUUUUUUAUAAGUCGUUCAGUUUGUUGAAUCCUUAAUAGUAGUAGCUGCGGAUAACUCACUAGGCUUUAGUAGUUUAAUCUUAUUUUUUUCAUACAUGUUAACUAAUGAAAUUAGAAUAGAAGCUGAAGUAAGAAUUGGUUUAUAAAUUUGUGGCCAUGUUUAUUAAUAAU